rnacentral:miRNA from 1 species
UUCCUCCUGGGUACAACUCUGC